AUCUGUUAAUUAUCUUUAGUUUAUUUGAUUAUUUCAAAAACAAAACAAUAAAAAAUCAAAUGGAAAAAUCAAAAGCUUGGCUGUGUUGAAUUAGAUAGAAACACAUGGGAAUUCAAGCUGAAAAAUACAAAAAUCACCAAAAAACAUUGCUCUUUGCAAUUUAUCACCACCCCAGUGCCUUCUUUGCAACUUUCACUUAAUAACCUGUGAACGAGAAAGGGGACAUUGGGAGGAAUGCUUGGCUGAAAUUUGGCAUCCAAACGGUGUGGGUGAGCGGCAACCGGAGUACUAGACGAGGUCAAUGACGGUUUAAAUGGGUGACUAGAAGGUCAAAUGCUGCUAGAGUUUUGGUCUGGAAACAUUUGUUUUGGCUUGAAAAAGAAGAGCUGCAAAAAUGAGGAUUGGAGAAACUUAAAAGAAUAUAAAAUAAGGAGAUUUGACCUUGGAUUUAAAGUGAUAACAAGUCUAAACCCAAAUCGGUUUUAAUAGUUAGCAAAGUGAGUUGAGCUACCUUUAUUCUAAGGGACCAUUUGCUUUGAAUUGGUGCAACCUUGGUAUGUAUUUUUGUUUAUUUACUUUACUUGUAUUUUAGUCUUUAUCUAUUUUAUCAUGCAUAGUGUUAGGCAAUAUUUUAAUUAUUUGAACAUAAAUAUAUAUAAAAAUACAAUAAAAAUUAAAAAUAGGUUUUGAUAAAGUAAAUUUGCAAAUUUAAUUCAAUUGGUACAACUAAAUAUUUUAUUAUGAAAGUCAAUUAAUUUGUAAUGGUAAAUGAAAAUUAUCCGAUGAUGAAAUUCUUAGAAAUUAUAAAUGGUUAAUUUCUAAAAAAUUUCUAGGUGAGAAUUUUUUUUAAAAAUUUAACCCAAAUGGAGGAAAAAUUUAGAUAAAAUUUCAAUAACAAUAAUUAAUUUUUAUUUUUAUUUUUAAAAAAUACAUAAACAAGUUAAUGAAAUUCUUGGAAAUGAAUUAACAAUUAUUCCAAUGGUGAGAUUCCUAAAAAUUUUAAAUAGUAAAUUUUUCAAGAAAUCUCUAGGUGAGAAAUUGUUUUAAAUUUAACAAAAAUAGUGGAAUAAUUUAGACAAACUUCAAUAAAAGUAAUGUAUUUUUAUCCAAAUAAAAAAAUAAAAAACAUAAAUUAAAAUUUUGUGAAAAUAUUUGACAAUUAUCCAAUGAUGAAAUCUCAAGGAAAAUCAUAAUGAUAGAAUUUUUAUGAGAUUUCUAGGUGAAUUUUUUUUUCCUAAAUUCAACCAAAUGGUGAAAGAAUUUAGAUGAAACUUCAAAUAAUAAUUGUCAUAUCAUUUUUUUUCUAAAGAAACAAAUGACAAAUAACAAGAAUUCAAUUUUUACGAAAGAUAUUUCUAAAUUAGGGCCAAAUUGUGAAAAAUUUAGAAAUAAAACUUGUAAAAUAAAAAAUAAAUCAUGAGGAUGAAAUUCUUAGUAAUUGCAAAUGGAUAAUUAUCUAAGACAUUUCUAGGUGAAAGAAUAUUUCUAAUUUUGUCCCAAAUGGUGAAAAAAUUUUAUAUAUUUUCAACAAAAUAAAAAUUUAACAAAAAAAAUGAUUAAGUUUUUCCAAGAAAACAAAUGAGAUUUUUGAAUACUUUUAAGGUGAGAAAAUAUUUUUAGAAUUUUACUAGAUUGAUGGAAAAAUCUUAAAAGUUCUUUCUAAUAUUUAAAUAUUAAAAUAAUGAUCAUUAUAACCAAGAUAAUUAUUAGGAUAAUUUAAAAUUAAAUGGUACUAUCUUAAGGAUGGGUGUUGUGGGGGUGUUAUAACCUUCUUCACACAUAAUUGAACUCCCGAACUUAAUUCUGAAAUACAGAUCAAAACUUAUUCUUUUAGGGAUCUUUAGUUAAGCUUAUAAUAUCUUUAAAAGGAUAAAUUCGCCUAGGUGACCAAUCACACCUUAAUAAAAGAUUGGUGACAACUCCUUACGUUAUGUUUAGCUAUAGGUUAAUGGAUCUAUAUGUUAUAAUAGUUUGAUGACUCUAUUGGAGACUCUGAGAGUUAGGCCAUAAUUAAUUUUGAAUUAUCCUAAUUUUUAGUUUGCUUGGUCUUCAAUUAUUGAUCAUUUUUGUUUGCAUUUAUUUUUAUUGUUUUUUAUUCUUUGACUUGGCUUGUGAAAAUUGCGAAUAAAGAUGUGUUCCUUCACACACACUGUUACAUGCAUGUGUAUCACAUGAGUUCUAUACCUAAGUUUCGUCCUUCUUAGGAGGGAGUAAAGUACUACAUCCUCGUGAGAUGAUAAUCUCCGUAAUGGCUAGCGAAAUACUUCCACUCAAAUUGAAUUCUUUCCGUUUGUAGCCUAUGAUGGGCGAGAAUUGGAGUGUUUUACUAGUCUAUGAUGGACAAUGAUGUAAGAACAAUUUGGAAACUUUUAGAUUUAACUCAAACCAUAUGUAGUAAAACAUAAGAAGCCAACCUUAGGUUAGAGUCAUAUCUACCCAUUAUUAUAAUGUAACCUUAGUUAGGACAUAUGAGUGGACCUUUUGAGCUUCAUUCAUAUCAACUUCAUGAUAAAUGUUAUUUGAUCCUUAUUUAUUUUUAAGUUGUUGUAUGUUGUUUAUUGUAUUCUAAUACAGCAUCACUAACAUAUAUUUUCAUCCACGAAUCGUAAUGUGACAAACAUCAGUACAUGCAUUCAUACAUUGUUGUGCAUACAUUAAUGUGUUUAUGAAUCAUAGUUUGUUGUGUCAAGCAUUCAAUGCAUUCAUUCAUUCAUGCAUAUAGGAUUCUUAAAAAAGUUAGGUUAAUUUUGAAAGCUUCUUCACACACACACUUAGUAACAUGAGCAUGCUAAUUGUUGUACAUAAGAUUCAAUGAUAGUUCAAUUGUUUAAGAAUCCUACUUAAAUAACCCACCAUCAAUACAAUACUAGAGUUUGAGCUAGACAGAUGGAAUAGGAAAAUGCAAAUCAUCUUGAGAAAAUCGAGAUGCCCAAGAAAAACUUGAAAGGGAGUUGAGUAAAAUUUUAGAAGCCGUAAACAAGUUGAACAAAGGAAAGGUCGUACAAGAAGAUGCUAGCCCACAAGACCAUCCAUCACAUGAUGUUGUUGAUCCUCUUUAUCUUCCUAGUUAUGGCCUAUAUUAGGUUCAAUCUACCUAAGGCAUUCCUCCAUUACAAAUCUCAUGCCUGGCGGGAUAUACCUAUCCAAGAGUGCCUUUUGUAUCAACUAAGGGGCAAUUUCAGAGUUAUGUCAAUCCUUUCUUUAAAAAAAAGGAGAAGAAUCAAUACAAGUCCCCAACCUGGAUGAUCCAAAAGAGAAAAAGAAGAUAAGAUCGAAGGUGGUUGAGAUUUUAGAAGGCUUAAAAGCUGAACAAAGAUGAACUUAUUAGAGGAUAGAUUAUGAGUAAUUGAAGAGAAGAAUAUUUAUGGCUUAAUGGAUGCAGCUGACCUUUGCUUAGUUCUGGAUGUAGUGAUCCCACUAAAAUUUAAGGUCUCGAAGUUUGAAAAGUAUGAUGGUACAAAGUGUCUGAUAACUCAUGUUAUCAUGUACUGUCGAAAAAUGGUUGCUUACACAAGCAAUGAGAUGCUGUUGAUACAUGUGUUCCAAGACAGUUUUAUUGGUUCUACAGCUAGAUGGUACAUUUAAUUGGAUAGAACUCACAUUACUUCAUGAAAGAAAUUGACAAAGGCAUUCAUCACCCAGUACCGUCUCAUCAUAGACUUGGCUUUAGAUUGCUUUUCCUUGCAAAAUGUGGAAAAAAAGGUCAUUUAAGGAGUACGUCCAAAGGUGGAAAGGUGUGGCUACUCAAGUUCAACUGUCUUUGACUGAAAAAAAGACUACAGUGAUGUUUGUAAGUACUUUGAAAAGUCCUUACUAUAAUAGGAUGAUAGGAAAUGCAACGAAGAACUUCGUUGAUAUGGUGAUCUCAAGAGAGAUUAUUGAAAAUGCUAUCAAGAGUGACAAGCUUUUGGAAGGAGAAACCACCAAUAAAGGAAGGUUGUCUAAAAUGAAAGAAACCAAAGCCCAAGCUGUAAAUUUCGAUGGGCAACAAUUCAAAAGUUAUGCUCCAUAUCCACCACCUGUUCAUCUUGUUUACUAUCCCACGGUUAAUAGCAUUGUGCAAGCCCUUUACCAACUUGUUCCACAACUAGCUUACCCACUAACUUACCAACCAGUCUUUCAAAUACCUGCAUAUGGGUCUAGUCAUAUCACUAUAUUAGCUUCAAGGCCUAACAACCAAGCAAAUGGUUUGAGGAGAUCUCGGAACAACCAAGAAAGGGCCCACAUUGAUCCUAUCCUCAUGAGUUACACUGAAUUAUUCCCAGAACUAGUCAAGAAUGACUUGGUAUAUCUAGUUAUUUUAGAACCAUUGCGAUUAUCAUAAUGGGAACGUGUCAUUCUAUAAAAACUUGUCUCGUUUUCAAGCACAAGGUGCAAAGUUUGAUCCAAAAAGGCUUAGUGAGCUUUGACGAAUCAGUGGGGUCGGAUGUCAAAAAAACCCUUCCUCUGAUCACAUGGAGGCAUAAUUUUGGGAAGGACAAGGAUGUUAAGGCUAGUUGGAAGUUGCUUGUCAUUUUAGAAUUUCUUUUAAAGUAAUAUUAGGAUUUUUUUUAUGUAAUAAGAUUUCAUUUUUUAUCAUUUUAAUAGAAGGCAAGUUGAUGCAUUUUAUUACAUUGUCUUUUUCCCUAAGCCAUUAUUCCAUGCGUUGUUAUUUCCCAUGUCUUUUUUAUUCCCAUUCUCACAUUUCAAAUGAUGAAUGUUUAGACAAUGAUAAUAAUAAUUCUAGGAUUUAAUUUUGAAAACUCAUUCAUAUUGAUCUGUGGAGACUAUUUGAGCAAAAGAAGUAAUCUGUAAGCAGAUAUGAAAUGAACAUGUCUUGAAGACAUACAAUCUUUUAUAAUGAUCAAUGAGUUUGUCUUUGUUCAAUAAAUGAUUUUCAAAGAAAGUAUUAUAUUUGAGAUGAAAAAUGGUCAUAUUUUUUAACCAUUUAUAAAACCAUUAAUUGCUAUCCCUUUUGUGCUUUUUAUUAAUUUUUUCUAAAAAAUCUCACCUAAGGAUCACCCUCCAUACUUGAGGGCAAAUUUUGGGAAGAACAUACUUGAAAAAGGAAAAAAACAAAAGAUAACAACAGAUCUCAAAGAUAGGGAGUAGAAAAAAAAGAACCGAUUUUACAAAAAAAAAAAAAAGAGACAAAAAUGAAUACCACAAAUGAUUUGGGUCAAAGUAAUGAAAAUCCUUUUAUGAGGAAUAAGAUGAAUGAAAAAAGUAGUGGAAUAGGGCAAAGUGCCAAGUUAUAUCACAUGAUGAGAAAUGAUCCUUUGAUUUUGAAGCUGAAAAAUACAAAAAUCACCAGAAAACACUGCUCUUUGCAAUUCAUCACCACCCCAUUGGCUUUUUUACAACUUUCACUUAAUAACCUGUGAAUGAGAAAAGGGACAUCGGGAGGAAUGUUUGGCUGAAAUUUGGCAUUCAAACGGUGUGUACGAGCAGCAACCGGAGUGCUAGAUGAGGGCGACGACGCUCUAAAUGGGUGAUUAGAAUGUCACGAUGCUGCUAGAGUUUUGGUCUAGAAACAUUUGUUUUGGCUUGAAAAAGAAGAGCAGCAAAAACGAGGAUUGGAGAAACUUAAAAAAAUAAAAAAUAAGGAGAUUUGACCUUGGAUUUGAAGUGAUAACAAGUCUAAACCCAAAUCGAUUUUAAUAGUUA
rnacentral:lncRNA from 1 species